GAUGAACGCUGGCGGCGUGCCUAAUACAUGCAAGUCGAGCGAGUGGAUUAAGAGCUUGCUCUUAUGAAGUUAGCGGCGGACGGGUGAGUAAUACGUGGGUAACCUGCCCAUAAGACUGGGAUAACUCCGGGAAACCGGGGCUAAUACCGGAUAACAUUUUGAACCGCAUGGUUCGAAAUUGAAAGGCGGCUUCGGCUGUCACUUAUGGAUGGACCCGCGUCGCAUUAGCUAGUUGGUGAGGUAACGGCUCACCAAGGCAACGAUGCGUAGCCGACCUGAGAGGGUGAUCGGCCACACUGGGACUGAGACACGGCCCAGACUCCUACGGGAGGCAGCAGUAGGGAAUCUUCCGCAAUGGACGAAAGUCUGACGGAGCAACGCCGCGUGGGUGAUGAAGGCUUUCGGGUCGUAAAACUCUGUUGUUAGGGAAGAACAAGUGCUAGUUGAAUAAGCUGGCACCUUGACGGUACCUAACCAGAAAGCCACGGCUAACUACGUGCCAGCCGCCGCAGUAA
rnacentral:rRNA from 1 species